rnacentral:rRNA from 1 species
AUACGGAGGGUGCAAGCGUUAAUCGGAAUUACUGGGCGUAAAGCGUACGUAGGCGGUCCGUUAAGUUAGAUGUGAAAGCCCCGGGCUUAACCUGGGAACUGCAUUUAAAACUGGCGGACUAGAGUUGAGUAGAGGGGAGUGGAAUUUCAGGUGUAGCGGUGAAAUGCGUAGAGAUCGGAAGGAACACCAGUGGCGAAGGCGACUCCCUGGACUCGAACUGACGCUGAGGUACGAAAGCGUGGGUAGCAAACGGGAUUAGAUACCCUAGUAGUCC